rnacentral:tRNA from 1 species
GGGUCUGUAGUCUAGCUUGGUAGGACUCCGGCUUCGGGAGCCGGGAGCCUGAGUUCAAAUCUCAGCGGACCCA